rnacentral:lncRNA from 1 species
CCACUACUAGUUCUUUCUUCUGAAUUCAUGUUACUUUAGAUACUGGGGGCUGCACCAACCUCAGCAUGUUCUAGAAGUUAUCAGUGAAACAGUAAUACUCUUACCCUAUAUUUAUGUUGUUCAUAGUACAGCAGUUCAUCUGCCUACAUAUACUGCCUUGAUGUAAUUUGGCUCUGUGUCCCCACCCAAAUCUCACCUUAAAUUGUAACCCCCAUGUGUCAAGGGUGGGACCAGGUGGAGGUAAUUGAAUCAUGGGGGCUGUUUCCCCCCUGCUGCUCUCAUGAUAGUGACUGAGUCUCAGGAGAUCUGAUGGUUUUGUAAGCAUCUGGCACUUCCCCUGCUUGCACUCACUCCAUCCUGCCACCCAGUGAAGAAGGUGCCUGCUUCUCCUUUGCCUUCUGCCAUGACUGCAAGUUUCCUGAGGCCUCCCCAACGAUAAGAACUGUGAGUCAAUGAAACCUCUUUUCUUUAUGAGUUACUCACUCUCAAGUUUGUCUUUAUUAGCAGUGUGAGAACGAACUAACAUAAGCCUGUUCCGGUCUUUGUGUUUUAAUGUGUUGUUUUCUUUUUUUCUUUUUUUUUUUCUAUUUGAUCCUGACACACACUUUCUCUAGAGCUUUGAGUACUUUCAUUUCCUGAUAACGUCAUUUUUACCAGAUGACCCUGGAGUCCCUGGCCACACAUCUCUGAAAUUAUGUUAACAGCUUCUGGGAUUCAACAAAAUCUAUGCUGGGAUAGCAGCAUGGCCGUGAAUCUCAUCAGAUUAAACGUCCUUGAGGAAUCGCCACACUGUCUUCCACAAUGGUUGAACUAAUUUACACUCCCACCAACAGUGUAAAAGGGUUCUUAUUUCUCCACAUCCUCUCCAGCAUCUGUUAUCUCCAGAUUUUUUAAUGAUCGCCAUUCUAACUGGCAUGAGAUAGUAUCUCAAUGUAGUUUUGAUCUGCAUUUCUCUAAUGACCAGUGAUGAUGAGCAUUUUUUCAUAUGUUUUUUGGCCUCAUGUUCAAGCAUUUUUAAUCUGAUAUUUAUUUAACAAGUACUUACAUAGUACUUAAAAGUGCCUCAGGAAUUGCUAUAAGUACUGUGCAAAGUUUUAUCUUAUUUAAUUCUCAUAAAAUGCCCUUGAGAUAGGCUCUGUUAUUAUCCCCAUUAUACAAUAAGAAAACUGAAGCAGAGAGUUAUGGAGCAGGCUGCCCCAAAUCACACGGCUAGUACACGGCAGAACUGACACUGGAACCGGCUGGAAAAGAGAAGGGAAAAUAAAACAAAAAAGAGAAGAAAACUAUUGCCUCUGCCUCUAUAGACCUUAUAGUUGGUGGGGGAGGCAAACAAGAACCCGAAAAUUCUAUGUGUAAAGUUGUGAGAGUGACAAAUUUUACAAAUGAGAGAGAACGGUAGGAAAGUUAAUAUUAAGGGGAUUGAAUUCCUUCAGGAAAUCAGGGAGGACUCCCUUGAAGAAGCAAUCCUUGAGUUGGGAUCUGAAAAUUGAUCAGGAAUUAGCCCAGAUUAAGUGAGAAGGUAAGAGAGUCCUGGCCAAUGGCAAUCUGUAGAAAGAUCCUUCAGAGGAAGAGAGUGAGAAGGGAAGAGAGAUGGGAAG